rnacentral:rRNA from 1 species
GAUGAACGCUGGCGGCGUGCCUAAUACAUGCAAGUCGAGCGAAUGGAUUAAGAGCUUGCUCUUAUGAAGUUAGCGGCGGACGGGUGAGUAACACGUGGGUAACCUGCCCAUAAGACUGGGAUAACUCCGGGAAACCGGGGCUAAUACCGGAUAACAUUUUGAACCGCAUGGUUCGAAAUUGAAAGGCGGCUUCGGCUGUCACUUAUGGAUGGACCCGCGUCGCAUUAGCUAGUUGGUGAGGUAACGGCUCACCAAGGCAACGAUGCGUAGCCGAACCGUAAGGGGGAUCGGCCAAACUGGGACUUAGACACGGCCCAGACUCCUACGGGAGGCAGCAGUAGGGAAUCUUCCGCAAUGGACGAAAGUCUGACGGAGCAACGCCGCGUGAGUGAUGAAGGCUUUCGGGUCGUAAAACUCUGUUGUUAGGGAAGAACAAGUGCUAGUUGAAUAAGCUAGCACCUUGACGGUACCUAACCAGAAAGCCACGGCUAACUACGUGCCAGCCGCCGCAGUAA